UCCGCUGAUACCAGCUUUGCGCCGCUGCGGCCCUAGGGGCUUUUUCGAGGGGACCCAAGGGGAAGAGCGAAUCCCGCCACCGCCAGCCUAGGUCGGAUCCUCAUCAGAUGCUGGACGUUGGAGGAGGCACCGGGUUGUGGGGCGCCACAGGAGGAUUGAACCCCCAGGCUACACCGAAGACUUGGAUGUAUCUCCGGCCAAGACAUUGCGCAUCUGCAAAAGGGAGAAAAGCCUGCUGCUCAGGAAUAUUCCAGUCGAUGUGAGAAGAAAGGGAUUGGACCCUUAGCUGUCUGGCUGCAACUCAUCUGCUGUGCCCUCAGCUUUUUCUGGUGUGCAGAUAGAGGGUGGGACUGGCAUUGCCUGGGACAGUCCCUAACCUGGGACAGCCUUCGAUGAUAUCACACCUGCACACCUCCGCAAGGAACCCGGUGGAGAGGAUGAGUGAAAUAGCCUGUGGGCAGCAGAGCCUGGAAGAACAGAGAACGACAAGCCUGUGGCAGCCUUGGACUGUUUUGGCCCUAACAAG